GAUGAACGCUGGCGGCGUGCCUAAUACAUGCGAGUCGAGCGAACAGAUGAGGAGCUUGCUCCUCUGACGUUAGCGGCGGACGGGUGAGUAACACGUGGAUAACCUACCUAUAAGACUGGGAUAACUUCGGGAAACCGGAGCUAAUACCGGAUAAUAUAUUGAACCGCAUGGUUCAAUAGUGAAAGACGGUUUUGCUGUCACUUAUAGAUGGAUCCGCGCCGCAUUAGCUAGUUGGUAAGGUAACGGCUUACCAAGGCAACGAUGCGUAGCCGACCUGAGAGGGUGAUCGGCCACACUGGAACUGAGACACGGUCCAGACUCCUACUGGAGGCAGCAGUAGGGAAUCUUCCGCAAUGGGCGAAAGCCUGACGGAGCAACGCCGCGUGAGUGAUGAAGGUCUUCGGAUCGUAAAACUCUGUUAUUAGGGAAGAACAAAUGUGUAAGUAACUAUGCACGUCUUGACGGUACCUAAUCAGAAAGCCACGGCUAACUACGUG
rnacentral:rRNA from 1 species